rnacentral:rRNA from 1 species
UAAGGAAGAUGUUGAGUAUC